rnacentral:rRNA from 1 species
AUACGUAGGGUGCAAGCGUUAAUCGGAAUUACUGGGCGUAAAGCGUGCGCAGGCGGUUUUGUAAGACAGAGGGGAAAUCCCCGGGCUCAACCUGGGAACUGCCUUUGUGACUGCAAGGCUAGAGUACGGCAGAGGGGGGUGGAAUUCCGCGUGUAGCAGUGAAAUGCGUAGAUAUGCGGAGGAACACCGAUGGCGAAGGCAAUCCCCUGGGCCUGUACUGACGCUCAUGCACGAAAGCGUGGGGUGCAAAUAGGAUUAGAUACCCUGGUAGUCCACGCCCUAAACGAUGUCAACUGGUUGUUGGGGAUUUAUUUUCUCAGUAACGAAGCUAACGCGUGAAGUUGACCGCCUGGGGAGUACGGCCGCAAGGUUAAAACUCAAAUGAAUGGACGGGG